GGAACGCUAAUACCGCAUACGUCCUACGGGAGAAAGUGGGGGAUCUUCGGACCUCACGCUAUCAGAUGAGCCUAGGUCGGAUUAGCUAGUUGGUGAGGUAAAGGCUCACCAAGGCGACGAUCCGUAACUGGUCUGAGAGGAUGAUCAGUCACACUGGAACUGAGACACGGUCCAGACUCCUACGGGAGGCAGCAGUGGGGAAUAUUGGACAAUGGGCGAAAGCCUGAUCCAGCCAUGCCGCGUGUGUGAAGAAGGUCUUCGGAUUGUAAAGCACUUUAAGUUGGGAGGAAGGGCAGUAAGUUAAUACCUUGCUGUUUUGACGUUACCAACAGAAUAAGCACCGGCUAACUUCGUGCCAGCAGCCGCGGUAAUACGAAGGGUGCAAGCGUUAAUCGGAAUUACUGGGCGUAAAGCGCGCGUAGGUGGUUCGUUAAGUUGGAUGUGAAAGCCCCGGGCUCAACCUGGGAACUGCAUCCAAAACUGGCGAGCUAGAGUAUGGCAGAGGGUGGUGGAAUUUCCUGUGUAGCGGUGAAAUGCGUAGAUA
rnacentral:rRNA from 2 species